rnacentral:rRNA from 1 species
UUGUCUCAAAGAUUAAGCCAUGCAUGUCUCAGUACAAACCGAAACAAGGUGAAACCGCGAAAGGCUCAUUAUAUCAGUUAUGGUUCAUUAGAUCGUACUCACAUUUACUUGGAUAACUGUGGUAAUUCUAGAGCUAAUACAUGCAAACAGAACUCCGACCGGAGACGGAAGGAGCGCUUUUAUUAGAUCAAAACCAACGCGGGCGGCGCGGGCCGGCGGCCUCGGUCGUCGCGUCCUCGCCGUCUCAAACAUAGCUCGCACGACGAAUCUGAAUAACUUUAUGCCGAUCGCACGGUCACGCACCGGCGACGCAUCUUUCAAAUGUCUGCCUUAUCAACUUUCGAUGGUAGGUUAUGCGCCUACCAUGGUUGUAACGGGUAACGGGGAAUCAGGGUUCGAUUCCGGAGAGGGAGCCUGAGAAACGGCUACCACAUCCAAGGAAGGCAGCAGGCGCGCAAAUUACCCACUCCCGGCACGGGGAGGUAGUGACGAAAAAUAACGAUACGGGACUCAUCCGAGGCCCCGUGAUCGGAAUGAGCACACUUUAAAUCCUUUAACGAGGAUCAAUUGGAGGGCAAGUCUGGUGCCAGCAGCCGCGGUAAUUCCAGCUCCAAUAGCGUAUAUUAAAGUUGCUGCGGUUAAAAAGCUCGUAGUCGAAAUUGUGUCCUCGGCCGCCGGUUCGUCGCUCGCGACGCCAACUGGCGCGCACGCUGGACGUCCAGCCGGUACUACGAACUCGCCUACGGGGUGCUCUUAACCGAGUGUCCAGGCGGGGGCCGGCAACGUUACUUUGAACAAAUUAAAGUGCUUAAAGCAGGCUAAAUUGCGCUCGCAUACACGCGCAUGGAAUAAUCGAAUAGGACCUCCGUUCUAUUUUGUUGGGUUUUUGUGGAACGACAGACGGAGGUAAUGAUCAAUGGGUGCGGAUGGGGGCAUUCGUAUUGCGACGUUAGAGGUGAAAUUCUUGGAUCGUCGCAAGACGGACUUAAGCGAAAGCAUUUGCCAAAAACGCUUUCAUCGAUCAAGAACGAAAGUUAGAGGUUCGAAGGCGAUCAGAUACCGCCCUAGUUCUAACCAUAAACUAUGCCAGCUAGCGAUCCGCCGAAGUUACUUCUAUGACUCGGCGGGCAGCUUCCGGGAAACCAAAGCUUUCGGGUUCCGGGGGAAGUAUGGUUGCAAAGCUGAAACUUAAAGGAAUUGACGGAAGGGCACCACCAGGAGUGGAGCCUGCGGCUUAAUUUGACUCAACACGGGAAACCUCACCAGGCCCGGACACCGGAAGGAUUGACAGAUUGAGAGCUCUUUCUUGAUUCGGUGGGUGGUGGUGCAUGGCCGUUCUUAGUUGGUGGAGCGAUUUGUCUGGUUAAUUCCGAUAACGAACGAGACUC